CGCGCAGGCGGCCGGUCGCAUCGGCGGUGAAAGCCCCCCGCUCAACGGGGGAGGGUCCGUCGAGAUGGAUCGGCUGGAGGCAGGGAGAGGGCGGUGGAAUUCCGGGUGUAGUGGUGAAAUGCGUAGAGAUCCGGAGGAACACCAGUGGCGAAGGCGGCCGCCUGGACCUGACCUGACGCUGAGGCGCGAAGGCGUGGGGAGCGAACG
rnacentral:rRNA from 1 species